rnacentral:piRNA from 1 species
AGGCAUUGUGGAGAGAAUAGAUAGC